rnacentral:rRNA from 1 species
AUUGAACGCUGGCGGCAGGCCUAACACAUGCAAGUCGAACGAGUGGCGGACGGGUGAGUAAUGUCUGGGAAACUGCCUGAUGGAGGGGGAUAACUACUGGAAACGGUAGCUAAUACCGCAUACCAUCGGAUGUGCCCAGAUGGGAUUAGCUAGUAGGUGGGGUAACGGCUCACCUAGGCGACGAUCCCUAGCUGGUCUGAGCGGAUAACCAGCAAAACUGUAGCUGGUGCACGGUCCAGACUCCUACGUGGGGCAGCAGUGGGGAAUAUUGCACAAGGGGCGAAAUCCUGAUGAAGCCAUGCCGCGGGUAUGAAGAAGGCUUUCGGGUUGUAAAGUACUUUCAGCGAGGAGGCGUUACUCGCAGAAGAAGCAACGGCUAACUACGUGCCAGCAGCCGCGGUAAUAC